AUCAUUUCUCAGCCUUUUGGCUAAGAUCAAGCACUGUAUUUGAUCUCAUCAGUUUAAUACCUGAUACGUCCUCUGAGAACAAUAUAUUAAAGGGACUUCUGGAACUAGGACAUGGAAUAGAAGCUUGCUUCAUUCACUCCAUGUAUCAACCUGGCAUUGCAGUACCUCCAGGAAUAGUGCACUCCUC
rnacentral:snRNA from 1 species